rnacentral:rRNA from 1 species
AGUGAACGCUGGCGGCGUGCUUAACACAUGCAAGUCGAACGAGAACGGAUUAUAGCUUGCUAUAAUUGUCAGCUAAGUGGCGCACGGGUGAGUAAUGUAUAGGUAAUAUGCCUCUUACUAAGGGAUAACAAAUGGAAACGUUUGCUAAUACCUUAUACUCCUUAUUAACAUAAGUUAAUAAGGGAAAGAUUUAUUGGUAAGAGAUUAGCCUGUAUUGUAUCAGUUAGUUGGUGGGGUAAUGGCUUACCAAGACUAUGACACAUAACUGGUUUGAGAGGAUGAUCAGUCACACUGGAACUGAGACACGGUCCAGACUCCUACGGGAGGCAGCAGUGGGGAAUAUUGCACAAUGGACGAGAGUCUGAUGCAGCAACGCCGCGUGGAGGAUGACACAUUUCGGUGCGUAAACUCCUUUUAUAUGAGAAGAUAAUGACGGUAUUAUAUGAAUAAGCACCGGCUAACUCCGUGCCAGCCGCCGCGGUAAAAC